UGAUAAUUAAAUAUUAAAUGGCCGCGGUAUUUUGACCGUGCAAAGGUAGCAUAAUCGUUAGUUUUUUAAUUGGAAUCUUGUAUGAAUGGUUGGACAAAAGAAAAUCUGUCUUUACACUGUUUAUUGAAUUUAACUUUUAAGUGAAAAGGCUUAAAUGAAUUAAAGGGACGAUAAGACCCUAUAAAGCUUAAUAUUAAAAUUUUAUUUAGUUGAAUUUUAUAUAAUAAAAACUUAGUGGAUUAUAUUUAUUUUAUUGGGGCGAUAGAAGUAAAAUGAUUAAUAACUGCUUAAUUUUUUAUACAUUAAUAAUUGAUUAACCAAUUUAAAUGAUCCUAAUUAAAGAUCAAAAGUUCAAGUUACUUUAGGGAUAACAGCGUUAUUUUUCUUAAGAGUACUUAUCGAAAGAAAAGUUUGCGACCUCGAUGUUGAAUUAAAAUGUCUUUAUAAUUGCAGCAGUUAUAAGAGUAGGUCUGUUCGACCUUUAAAAUUUUA
rnacentral:rRNA from 1 species